ACACAUUGUCCGUUAUAAAAGUUCGUUUUACAGUAAAGCACAACAUAAACUUAAUACAAACUAAAUAAAUCUUGCAAGAUAUGUUGAUGAAACAAUAGUAAAAGGAAACAAUUUGAGCAAGGGAUUCACAGGCCUUGCGCUCAAAAAUCAAAUAAAUCCAGAGAUUUCAAACAAUAAAAAGUACAGAUGAAUCACAUACAUACUACACUUCAAUAUACAGCAUAUUUAACCUGAAGGAAAAAAACUAAAAAUAAACAUAGGUGACACUAAUAACAGUCUUUGGAUAUGAAAGCGUCCCUUUACAUAUUACAUUGGAAAGAUGACUUUGAUUAAACUCUGAUUCAAAAU